ACGGAGGGUGCAAGCGUUGUUCGGAAUCACUGGGCGUAAAGGGCGCGCAGGCGGUUUGGUAAGUCAGAUGUGAAAGCCCACGGCUUAACCGUGGAAGUGCAUUUGAAACUGCCAGACUUGAGUACCAGAGGGGAAAGUGGAAUUCCCGGUGUAGCGGUGGAAUGCGUCGAUAUCGGGAGGAAGGCCGGUGGCGAAGGCGACUUUCUGGCUGGAUACUCACGCUGAGGCGCGAAAGCGUGUGGAGCAAACAG
rnacentral:rRNA from 1 species